UCCUAAGCAGGGAGAAGAGACUGAUUAAUAUUCCUCCUUUCCACCUGAAGCAGGGAAAAAACUUAAAUGAACUUCCUUUGGGGUUUGUGGAAACAGGGAAUCACAUACCUAACAAGCGUGUGCACAAGAUUUGAGUGUAUUCAGCUGUAUCUACACACAUUUUUGUAAUUAAUCUCUCAUUUUGAAUAGAAAAUGGACAUUUCUGAAGUUAAUGGAUAAGAUAGCUUGCAGUUUCCAUGCAUGGCCUUUCCCAUUCAUUGCUGACAUCAAAUUAGUCAUACCAUUAGAAAGUGAAGUUGAACCUUGACUAUCCACAGCUUUGGCCCUCUGACAAGAGAGCCUCAGGAGCUUGUCACAUUGCUUCUAGUUACAGAUAAAUACACAUCUCCUUCCUGACAGAAGAACUGCGUCCUCAGGAUACUCCUUACAGCUCAAGGCUGAAGGAGGACUGGGUUGCAGACUGCAACUAACAGCAGUUACUGAAAUCUGAAGAGCUGAAGAUUGGUGAAAUUCUGGGGGGGAAGCUGCAAUGCUCAAGUAAUGUGGAGAGGGGAGAAAAGGACCAAAGAGAAGAUCCCUGAUACUAUCUGAGGUGCUGAUUGCAGAGCACGCUACCAACAGCCUCGCAGGCAGUAUUUCCCACAGUAUCUCAUUUUGGAGAGGAAAAUGGUUCAAGAAAGAUUGUAUGGCCGAAGGCACAUUUUGGGAAAUGUAAUGUGUACCUGGAUAGCCUGGAAAUGGACAAGGAUAAAGACACAAGGCAUUUGUUCUGCAGCACCACUAAGGAAGAGCAAUAACACGUACCCUGAAAUACUGGAUUCUUGGCCAACUCUUCAUUCCAUGCUUUCAUUUUUAGGCUCUCAGUUUUCCAAAGGACAAUAUAUAUUUUGUGUGGGAAAGUCUGCUCUUUCGAGAAAAAGAAAGGAUCUUAAUUUCAAGUCUUGACAGACUUUUUCAGCUAGCCUUAGAAAAUCUGAAUUAUACUUAUCAUCAAAAUUGUCUCCUUCACUGCUUUUGUCAGAUUUUUGUUGUUGUUCUUGGUUUGUUUUGUUUAUUUUUAUUUUGGUUUUGGUUCUAGGCUGAUUUCUAUCAAUUUCCAGUAUGUUAUUGAAUCAUAUUUUAGAAGGAACUUGCUGAGACAAGAAUAUGGUAUAUAUUAAAUGAAGGGUUUGUCCUCAAUGCAGUGGCAAAGGGAUGUAGCUGUAGACCAAGUCUAUCAUAUUUCUUAGUGAGAUGGAAGUUGUAAGAAUUUAAUGUUUAUUGAUUUUUAAAAAGCUCAUGGACUUUGAUGAACAUUGGUUUACUGGCAAUUAGACACUUAGGCUAGGCUGAUUGUGCAAGCCUCUUUCAUGGUUAACAGGAAGGAUACUUUUGAGGGAAAUUUCCCCUACCUUCUCAGAUCUCUCCUUAAGAUAUCUGGGUCAAAUAAGCUGUUUCAUGAGCCAUUCAGGUCCAUUCACUGUGGAGGGCAUUGGGAAACUUUCUGUGUGAAACACUUCAGCAUUUCCUUCUGUCAAAAAAGCUGCAACAUCAAUGUUUUGUGCAUAGAAAGUGCUGCACUUCUUCAGUGUCAGAUAAUCACAGCACUCUCUCACACAUCUUGUACAGAUAAUUCUGAAUAUGUGAUAAGCUAUAUCUGCUAUUUUAGGCUUUCUUCAAUAAAUAUCUAGUUGACGUUUUCACCUGAUCUAUAUACACACAGCUACAAUUUAAUAAGCACACCUGCAUUUUAUAUUUUGGGCGAUAUCUACAAAAAGUGUUGCCCCUGGCUUAUUUUUAGUAGUUUAAAAUUAAAAUUUCUCCAGUGCAAGUCUCCAUAAUUGGCCUGGGGAUUCUUUAAGAUAGGGUUGCUGAGAGAACCUUACUUUGGAAAGCUGAGGCAUGUUGCCUCAUCGCAGCUGCUCCUGUAGGUUCAUCAGUUUCUCUUCCCUGGCUUAUGAGAGCAUCUCACCAAUUAUCAAGUGUUCGAGUUUCAGGAUCAGCAAAUUCAGUUUAUUUCAGUGUUUUCAUACAUGAUCAGUCACCUCUGAUCUCUGACUUCUGAAGCCAUUCACUAAUACAGUACCCAAAAGCAAAUCCAAACUCACUCAAAGAGGAUGAGCUUUCUGUGCUGAGAGGUGGCCAGUCUGCUCCUAACACUUCAGUUUUUUAUUUCAGUUUUUGAAAUUCACAGCUCAGUUCUCCUGGGAACUAAAUUCAUAGAUACACUACAUGCAAUAAGCAGAGAACGGGGGAAUGGCUUGUCUGCUAAUAUAAACACAGCUGUGCAUGCUAAGUGGUACAUAAUUGUUUAUACCCACAUUUGGGCUAUCAUGCAACAGACAAAACAAAUAUCUCAAAUCAAAAGAAAAGAAUGUUGUUGUUUCUGUUGUUUCAUUUUACCUAGAAGCACUCAUGCAGAUGUGUGGUUUGGGACCAGAUAAGAAGAAAUACUUUGCAUGCUUUUGCAGAAAUCACAGAAUCACAGAACUGUAGGGGUUGGAAGGGACCUCUGGAGAUCAUCUAGUCCAACCCCCUGCAAAGCAGGCUCCCUAGACCAGGCUGCAGAGGUAGGCAUCCAGGUGGGUCUUCAAUGUCUCCAGAGAAGGAGACUGUCAUUAAUGAAGUUGAAAGUCCUUCAGCAAGGCAUGGGAGUAUUGAAGAACCUCUGAGAAUACUUGUAAUUCCAUAAAUGUCUAAGUGAUCAUCUUUCACCCUAUUUUCCUUCUCUUUCUUUGGACAUGGCUUGUGAGUUUAUUCAAUGAGAAUUUUAUACAUGGCUUUUCUCAGAAAUCCUUGUCUGCAGUGAAUUCUUGGUUCCUACGCCCAGAAUGCUGGCAAAAAGAUGUAAUGAAAAUGUUUCCAUUCCCAAGAGAGAAAAGCACUUUUGU